AGCCACCUUCGGGUGGUGGACAGUGGCAGACGGGUGAGUAACGCGUGGGAACGUGCCUUUCGGUUCGGGAUAACCCAGGGAAACUUGGGCUAAUACCGGAUACGCCCUUCGGGGGAAAGAUUCAUUGCCGAAAGAUCGGCCCGCGUCGGAUUAGCUAGUUGGUGGGGUAAUGGCCUACCAAGGCGACGAUCCGUAGCUGGUCUGAGAGGAUGACCAGCCACACUGGGACUGAGACACGGCCCAGACUCCUACGGGAGGCAGCAGUGGGGAAUAUUGGACAAUGGGCGCAAGCCUGAUCCAGCCAUGCCGCGUGGGUGAUGAAGGCCCUAGGG
rnacentral:rRNA from 1 species